CAGCCAUCGGCUGGCCUUUGGUGAGAGCCAAGGAUGGCUCUCAUAA
rnacentral:sRNA from 1 species